CUUUCAACAACGGAUCUCUUGGUUCUGGCAUCGAUGAAGAACGCAGCGAAAUGCGAUAAGUAAUGUGAAUUGCAGAAUUCAGUGAAUCAUCGAAUCUUUGAACGCACAUUGCGCCCCUCGGUAUUCCGGGGGGCAUGCCUGUUCGAGCGU
rnacentral:rRNA from 1 species